rnacentral:rRNA from 1 species
GACGAACGCUGGCGGCGUGCUUAAUACAUGCAAGUCGAACGGAAAGGCCCGGCUUUUGCGGGGUGCUCGAGUGGCGAACGGGUGAGUAACACGUGAGUAACCUGCCCUUGUCUUUGGGAUAACUUCAGGAAACUGGGGCUAAUACCGGAUAGGAUCUCCUGCUGCAUGGUGGGGGUUGGAAAGUGUCGGCGGUUGGGGAUGGACUCGCGGCUUAUCAGCUUGUUGGUGGGGUAGUGGCUUACCAAGGCUUUGACGGGUAGCCGGCCUGGGAGGGUGACCGGCCACAUUGGGACUAAGAUACGGAGCAGAAUCGUACGGGAGGCAGCAGUGGAGAAUCUUGCACAAUGGGCGGAAGCCUGAUGCAGCAACGCCGCGUGCGGGAUGACGGCCUUCGGGUUGUAAACCGAUUUCGCCUGUGACGAAGCGUGAGUGACGGUAAUGGGUAAAGAAGCACCGGCUAACUACGUG